UCUAGAGUUUAGUAUCAAUUC
rnacentral:snRNA from 1 species